AAAAGGGGGUACGCCUCGAUUCUUCUUCAUCAUGACCGAACUUGCCUCUUCUUCAAAGGGCAUGAUGCUGCAGGUCAUUGGUCUAGACUGUUUGCACGGUCCAGAGAGCAGCCUUGAUGUAACCCUUGCUCCGUCUGAGCCACACCACCAGCCGUGCAGCUGCAGACUGGAGGGGGACAUUGGAGAUCUGUAUUUGAAAAGAAGUCUGUCUGAUUUUGCCAUUGUGCCUUUUCACUCAUCGAUCGAAUGAAUAUCGAACCUUCUGUCGUUGCAUGUGUGAAAUAGAUAGCUUAGCCAGCACUUUUGUGCCCAACCUGUGCUGUGGGCCAAAAGGUUUUCAUUUUAGUCUCAAGUUGGUUUUUUUUUUUUUCUCCUUCUUUCUUUCUUCAUACUUGAUGAAUUUUGUGUUGGCUUAAAUUAUUCGUAUGCCUUUAUCCAGCUGUUCUGGAGACUGCCUGGGAUACUGUACAAGCAGGGAUUUUUGUUUUGCUGUGAAAACGGAACUUUUUUUUCUCCUGUCCUCUGUUUUCCUUUGUAGCUGUCUUAAGGUCUUUUUUGUAGCUUUGUAGGUAGAAGUGUGCUAACUUUUACUACACCCUAUAAAGCCGAGCAUCUAAGUUAUCCUUUUACGGGGACGACUUGAUGGUGUCUGUUAUUUAACAGGCUUAAAUCCAGAAAGGUGAACUUGAGCCUCUCAAGGUGAUUUCAGUGAAUUUAUAAGAGUAAGUAAACCGGAUAAACACAUUGAUUUUUAAACUGAAUGACAGUGUCUGCUAAACUCUAUCUGAAAGGAAUGUGUUUUCUUUGCUUUCUCUCCUUCUUUAAACAUCAGCAAAAAUAUUAAUUGGAAGUGUUGAAAUAUACUUAAAAGCACAUAACUUAUUUUGUGCUUAGGAAAGUACAAAUGACAAAUAAAAUCAUUAUGAUUUAAUAUAUUGAAGUAAAUAUUACUGAUAAUAUCUGUCUCCGGGCACGAUUUAACUAAAAAAGUAACUAGAAGGUUUUUGCAUUUCAAUUUUUAAAUAUAACUAAAAUUUCCUUGCUGCUCACCAGCAGCUGAUGUUAAUGAGACUUAUGGCACCUGCUCAUUCCCGAAUGCCCAAUUUCACCGUGUCCUUGUGAAACUGGGUAGCUUGAGGAUGUCUUGGGUGCAUCUCCCCAGCAUGGUGAUUUGAAAGCACUGUCUGUCUGUGACUGUCAUCAGGAGUGGUUUGGUUGGAUUUGAAGAAACGAGUACUUCAUACUUAAAGGCAUACAUAUUUUCUCUAAUUGCCAAAGGCAAGGGGGAGGUCCAGGGCAGAAUAAAAAAGGUUAUUGUGACAGAUGAAAUAUAAUUCACAAUGAGCAUUCUUUUCAUCUAGGCUGAAGUACCACAGGAUUACUUACAAGUUGAAUUUUGUGGCAGAACGUAUAAACUCAUAUUAAAAGAAGCUAGAAAGAAAAGCAGCAAGCCUGUUACUCUCUGGCCCCGGAAGUGUUUAUUUUGAAUAUGUCUGUCUUGGGAUUGUGUUCUGUUUCUCCUAACAUAAAGAUACACUGGCGAGAAGAGGGACUAGGCAGCAAGGGUGGAAAGGAAGAAACCUAAAAGCAAUCAAAGCUGCUUCUUCCCUCUACCAAUGAAGAAAGAGGAGUUAGAUGGAUUUUUAUUCUCUUUGGGAUGCACAUGCAACAAUCAUAUUUUUCAGCACACGUUUAUUUUUGGCUGCAAAAGUAGGUAACUAUUAUUUUAUAAACUUACUAUACCUUAGAUAAUAUUUUUCCUUCCUUUAAAGUUCCUAGGGUCAAAUGAUUUACGAGGGUGUUUUUGUUUUUUUCUGUUCUGUUUUGUUUUGUUUGUUUAGAUUCUGGUUAGCAUUCUGUGAGGGUUGAACACAGGUACAUGUUUGACCAGAUAUUUUGUUUCCUUUAGCUUCUUUGUUCUAGCUUAAAUGAAAAUAGUUUCAUUUGACCUCUGUACAUUUUAUUUCUAGAUGCAAAAAAAAAAAAUGCUUUCCUUUCUAUUUGUACAAAGGUCAGUUUUUAAAUUAACUGAAAAGCAAACCAUGUACUUUAUAAAUAUUCAGGCACCAUAAAAAAAAAACUCGGAAUAUAAACCCAUCUGCAAUUAAUUUUUAAGCAGUGAGUCUGGGUUUAUCUAUUCCUGGAAAUCACAUGCUUUGUAUUUUCCAUUCUUUUUCUAAGUUAACCGAAGUAACUGCCCUGUGUUAAGGGAAAGCUACGAGGUUCUGCCUGCUAGUCAUCUUCUGCUGGAAACCAGGCUGCCCUCUCUCUCUUAAGCUCUGAUGGACUAUCUCUUGUUUUACAGUUACCCAUAGCAUGCAUGUGUGUAUAUGACUGUGUAUGAGUGUGAGUUUGUGCAUGCUUCUUAAUUGAGGUCUUUUCAAUUUACCAGAUAAAUUUCUUAUUGUAAACCCUGCAGUGAAUAAUUCAAAUGCAGUGAGUUUACUUACAUGUUGUCUGAGUGAAGGGAGCAAAGGCAUACAUGCCCUCACAUGUAGCUGUUCUAUAUUUCUUUCCUUACUGCACAAUAGUGUUGUUAUUUUGAUAAAUAAAACAUGCAGCUCACAUUG
rnacentral:lncRNA from 1 species